UAUAGAUGAGUGUAAUCUGUAAUAUAAUUGGUGUUAUGUGGUUCUUUUGCAUGGAGUUGUAAUUUGAGUGUACUGAAUUUUCUUUGUUAAUACAGAUUUGAUCUUUUCGUUUUCUUACCUUCUUUAAUGCGUUGAGAAUUUCUGGGCUAAGUAUGUGAGGUUUCUAAUACAGCCCAAUGUUCCAAGCAAUCAUGGAGCGAAUUCACCAGAAAAAACUAAAUCUUUUCGCUUGUUAAUUAGUGGAACACAAAUGUAAGAAAAUUGAACUUAUCACCUUCUUCGUAUACAAUUUUAUUGUCAUAAUGCUUUCAGACUUUAUGGAAAUAAAUUUUAUUGAUGAA
rnacentral:lncRNA from 1 species